rnacentral:rRNA from 1 species
AACUGAAACAUCUAAGUACCCCGAGGAAAAGAAAUCAACCGAGAUUCCCCCAGUAGCGGCGAGCGAACGGGGAGGAGCCCAGAGCCUGAAUCAGUGUGUGUGUUAGUGGAAGCGUCUGGAAAGGCGCGCGAUACAGGGUGACAGCCCCGUACACAAAAAUGCACAUACUGUGAGCUCGAUGAGUAGGGCGGGACACGUGGUAUCCUGUCUGAAUAUGGGGGGACCAUCCUCCAAGGCUAAAUACUCCUGACUGACCGAUAGUGAACCAGUACCGUGAGGGAAAGGCGAAAAGAACCCCGGCGAGGGGAGUGAAAAAGAACCUGAAACCGUGUACGUACAAGCAGUGGGAGCCUCUUAAUGGGGUGACUGCGUACCUUUUGUAUAAUGGGUCAGCGACUUAUAUUCUGUAGCAAGGUUAACCGAAUAGGGGAGCCGAAGGGAAACCGAGUCUUAACUGGGCGUUAAGUUGCAGGGUAUAGA